CCAAGGCUACCUUGACUGUGUGUGUGUGUGUGUGUGUGUGUGUGUGUGUGUGUCUUUCCCUCUCCAUCCCCUCCAUUCAGUGGUGUAAGCAGGAGCUUGUGGGAGGUUCCUGUGGGUGUGGAUGUUGGGGGUGACUGACCUCUCUUGCCCGUGCACCCCAGAAGGAAGUCCUGCUGGGUGUCGGGAGGAGGGGCUGGUGCGGGCAGCGGGAGGGUGUGGGCAGGUGCAGCUAAGCAGCUGCGAAGCUGACGACGAUGUGCGACUCCUGGUGAGGAGCUCAGGACUUGGCACUGAUCCUGGCAGCUGUGCCACAGCGGCCUUGCUGAGCUGUGGACUGCUCACCUCGAGAACAGCACCCCCGCCGUUGGGGAGAGGGCUGUCAGGGCAGUGUGACUUCUGGCACCAGCUCCUGGCUGGGUUCAGGGGACAUUCCCCCUCUUACUUUGCUGAGCCUUGCCGGGUAGGGGGAGAACUUCUUUUACUUGGGUUCUUGCGUUCUGCUGUUUUCGUGUCUUUCCCUUUAGUGUCUUUAGCAUCUUGCGUUCUGCUGCUCUAGCGUUGUUCCCACACCUUGCCCCAGUGUUCUCGCUUACCUCAGCUGGGGCGGAGGGGCUCCAGAUCCCCAGGAACCCCUUCAUUUUACAAAGAGGGAGAUUCUCAGAAUUGAGUAAAGCGCUGAAACACAAGUAACAUGCUUAAGACAAUGGCAGAGCUGGAGCUGGACCCUGGGGCUCAUUGCUCCCCUGGCUGCUCCUCCCGCUCCAGCCCGCCUUCCUUUCCCUGCGUUUCCACCACUGUUUGAGAGGCUGCUACAAAACCGUGAACUCACUCCCCAAAAGAACAAACCUUCACAUACAUUUGAUGAACAGCUUGAGUCAGGGACUUGCAACCCAAGCCCCUAUCACGGCCUCCUAUCUCUACGCCCCCAGUAGCUUUAUCAGAUACCCCCUUGCUGCUGGAACAGUCUUCCAGAUGCCAGACAGAAACAGCUCCGCAGCCAGCUGGACUCAGCUUGUCUGGCUAGAACCUGAGCAGUGGGGAAGGGCUGAGAGAGUUACCAGAAUAAACAUCCCUGGAGAAAGUCCAUGCGGUCAGAGCCGAGGGAUGAUGACCUUUGGGUUGGCCUUUGGGUUCAAGUGCUUGGAGUAUUAGGGCUGUAAAGUGACUUGGUGUAGGGAAGGGCCGUGUCCCCAGCAUCAUCACGUCUGCUCACACCCAGGACGGGGGUGAGGGUGACAAGGGGGAGUGCUGCCCUCCAGCUGCCCUCCGGAGAAGUCCUGCCACCUUGACCCAUUCACCCUGCGCAUGAUGGACUGGGAGGCGCCUGGACUGUGACCCACCCCAGGGUCCUUGCACCCAGCUGCAGCCUCUGAGCUCUUCCCUGAGACCCUCUGAAGUACUAUUGGGUGUGGGCCUGUGGGGUCUGUGCUGUGGGACCUCCUGGAAGCGACCACAUACCUGGGUGCUCAGUGCCGGAGAUGCUGACUGUGGCGUCUGUCCUGCAGGUGUCUGUGCACAUGAAUGCAACCCCUAUCCUGCCUGGUGCGGGCAGCACUGAUGUGAGAGGCCACCGAUGUGUCCCUGUGGCGGGCUAUUGGUCAGUGCCAUAUUCUUGAAAGCCAAGAGUGCCUAAGCAAUCCUGUAGUGCCCCAUCACUUUCUAUGGCUUGUUAUUAAAUAUGCUGGUCAUACAAGUUUCUGGUAUACA